rnacentral:tRNA from 1 species
AUUUAUAUAGUUUACACAAAACAUUACAUUUUCACUGUAAAAAUAAAAUACCCAUUUUUAUAAAUA